AGAGUUUGAUCCUGGCUCAGGAUGAGCAGGCUUAAUACAUGCAAGUCGAGGGGCAGCACGAAUAGCAAUAUUUGGUGGCGACCGGCGCACGGGUGCGUAACACGUAUACAACCUACCUAUAACAGGGGGAUAGCCUUUCGAAAGAGAGAUUAAUACCCCGUAAUAAAUUGAGUGGCAUCACUUGAUUUUGAAAGCUACGGCGGUUAUAGAUGGGUAUGCGUCCUAUUAGCUAGUUGGUGAGGUAACGGCUCACCAAGGCGACGAUAGGUAGGGGAUCUGAGAGGACUAACCCCCACACUGGUACUGAGACACGGACCAGACUCCUACGGGAGGCAGCAGUAAGGAAUAUUGGUCAAUGGAGGCAACUCUGAACCAGCCAUGCCGCGUGCAGGAUGACGGCCCUAUGGGUUGUAAACUGCUUUUGUACCAGAGAAAACCUACUCACGUGUGAGUAGCUGAUAGUAUGGUAAGAAUAAGCAUCGGCUAACUUCGUGCCAGCAGCCGCGGUAAGACGAAGGAUGCAAGCGUUAUCCGGAUUCAUUGGGUUUAAAGGGUGCGUAGGCGGACUUGUAAGUCAGUGGUGAAAUCUCUUCGCUUAACGAAGAAACUGCCAUUGAUACUGCAGGUCUAGAGUACAGAUGACGUGGGCGGAAUAUGACAUGUAGUGGUGAAAUACUUAGAUAUGUCAUAGAACACCGAUUGCGAAGGCAGCUCACGAAACUGUAACUGACGCUGAGGCACGAAAGUGCGGGGAUCAAACAGGAUUAGAUACCCCGGUAGU
rnacentral:rRNA from 1 species